rnacentral:sRNA from 1 species
AGAUAAUAAGGAAGCAGGAAUAAGGAAAUGGAUUGUAUCAGGAAAUGCUUCAUUCUUCUUCUUAUUCUUCAGCCACUGACCCCAAAACAGUACAGAGGACCCAGGACAACAGCUGCAGCUUUGCCCUGCACGCCCGCGGUGUGGAGCUGAUGCGCUUCACCACGCCCGGCUUCCCUGACAGCCCCUACCCCGCUCAUGCCCGCUGCCAGUGGGCCCUGCGGGGAGAUGCCGACUCAGUGCUGAGCCUCACCUUCCGCAGCUUUGACCUUGCGUCCUGUGAUGAGCGCGGCAGCGACCUGGUGAUGGUGUACAACACCCUGAGCCCCAUGGAGCCCCACGCCCUGGUGCAGUUGUGUGGCACCUACCCUCCCUCCUACAACCUGACCUUCCACUCCUCCCAGAACGUCCUGCUCAUCACACUGAUCACCAACACCGAGCGGCGGCAUCCCGGCUUCGAGGCCACCUUCUUCCAGCUGCCUAAGAUGGGCAGCUGUGGAGGCCGCUUACGUAAAGCCCAGGGGACAUUCAACAGCCCCUACUACCCAGGCCACUACCCACCCAACAUUGACUGCACGUGGAACAUUGAGGUGCCCAACAACCAGCAUGUGAAGGUGCGCUUCAAAUUCUUCUACCUGCUGGAGCCCGGCGUGCCUACGGGCACCUGCCCCAAGGACUACGUGGAGAUCAAUGGGGAGAAGUACUGCGGAGAGAGGUCCCAGUUCGUUGUCACCAGCAACAGCAACAAGAUCACAGUUCGCUUCCACUCAGAUCAGUCCUACACUGACACCGGGUUCUUAGCCGAAUACCUCUCCUACGACUCCAGUGACCGUGAGUGAACAUUGUUGGCAGGAGGGCUGGCGGGGGCCUGCACCGCAUGUUCUGUCUACCCUGCAUCUCGUUAGCAUCAUGCUUUGCUGAUUCU